GAUGAACGCUGGCGGCGUGCCUAAUACAUGCAAGUCGAGCGAACAGAUGAGGAGCUUGCUCCUCUGACGUUAGCGGCGGACGGGUGAGUAACACGUGGAUAACCUACCUAUAAGACUGGGAUAACUUCGGGAAACCGGAGCUAAUACCGGAUAAUAUAUUGAACCGCAUGGUUCAAUAGUGAAAGACGGUUUUGCUGUCACUUAUAGAUGGAUCCGCGCCGCAUUAGCUAGUUGGUAAGGUAACGGCUUACCAAGGCAACGAUGCGUAGCCGACCUGAGAGGGUGAUCGGCCACACUGGAACUGAGACACGGUCCAGACUCCUACGGGAGGCAGCAGUAGGGAAUCUUCCGCAAUGGGCGAAAGCCUGACGGAGCAACGCCGCGUGAGUGAUGAAGGUCUUCGGAUCGUAAAACUCUGUUAUUAGGGAAGAACAAAUGUGUAAGUAACUAUGCACGUCUUGACGGUACCUGAUCAGAAAGCCACGGCUAACUACGUG
rnacentral:rRNA from 1 species